GUCCCCUUCGUCUAGCGGCUUAGGACUCCGCCCUUUCACGGCGGCAACAGGGGUUCGAAUCCCCUAGGGGACGCCA
rnacentral:tRNA from 1 species